CAGCACCAGAUACUGACCUGGCUGUCCUCAGCCUGGCGCCCCCCAGGGCGCUAAACGCUGUGUCCCAGUGGCUUCCAGGUCCCCAAAGGUGCGAGAGAAACAAGAGCCCUGUGAUUUAAGCUCAGAGCGUGAAGACUCGCUCUGUGUUAUAACUCGGUGGCACACGG